rnacentral:rRNA from 1 species
UACGUAGGGGUCAAGCGUUGUCCGGAUUUAUUGGGCGUAAAGAGCGUGUAGGCGGCCAGAUAGGUCAGCUGUGAAAACUCGAGGCUCAACCUCGAGACGUCGGUUGAAACCAUCUGGCUAGAGUCCGGAAGAGGAGAGUGGAAUUCCCGGUGUAGCGGUGAAAUGCGCAGAUAUCGGGAAGAACACCCGUGGCGAAGGCGGCUCUCUGGGACGGUACUGACGCUGAGACGCGAAAGCGUGGGGAGCGAACAGG